ensembl:lncRNA
CCUAGUGAGUGACUAAGUGAAUAUUUGAUCAUAAAAAUGUAAUUAUUUAUGUUAAUACAUAUACAUUCCUUUUUUUAAAUUAUGUUGAACCAACAUGGACUAAACAUUGAUUUGAAGUCUGUGCCCAGUACAGGCCACAUUAGCAAGUCACAUUAUUCUGUCUUUCAAAGUGUUGUAUAAUUCCUAUUGGAAUCUAGUCAGUUUGCAUAUCCAACACCCACAACUGCAGUUAGAAUGACUGCCAAGGUAGGAAAGAUUGAUAAAUGAGACUUCCUUAACCAUCUAAACUGGAACAAUCAUCUCAAUAACGGGUGAAAUAAGGCCAACUACUUACAGAUUGGAUUAGUUAGAUGUUUUAUUUAUUUAUCUUUGUUUAGUAUAAGAUCAAUGAAUCAAUCAAGGUGCAUGCAGAAACAUAGGUCUAGAUAUUAAAACAAACUAUUCUAAAAAGCAACCUGCAACAAAUCAUGCUGGGAAAUACGAUAAUGAGGACCCUCCCAUGUCUUCAAUCUGAGAGAGUUAACAGAAAUUAACUCAACACAGCCGAGUAACAACAACACCACACAGUGUUGAUUCCACUGUGAUUCAAGUAUCUUCAUUUAUUCACUGCAGGUGUUUUUUUUAUUUCAAUCCCACUGGUGUUAUCCCCACCAGAAUCAACACUCAGAUAUAACACUCACAACACUUUUUACCUCAACACUGAGAUUUUAACACCCUCAAAUUUGCUGUGUAGUUAUCAUCUCCAUACAACAGCAACUGACACAACUUUUUCAAAGAUGCCAAUGUCUGUAAAAGCUGCGGGUCCAGUUUUCUCAGGCACCAAGAAACUUAGGUUUAACAGUACAUUACUGUAAACUUUAUAGUAAUGCUCUACAUUAAUGUACUGUUAAACCAAAGUUGCUUUGGAAUCUACGGUAACAUACUGUAAAAUGUGUUAAAGUAAUUUACAGGUAACUGGCUGCCAGUAAGUUAGCAUAAAAACAACAUGAUUAUUUUACAGUGUACUAUGUAGGACAAAUAGUAAUGUGUGCUUUAAUCAUAUAGCCAACACUGGAAAUAUACUUUAAAUAAGAUAUAGCAAAGUGUUCUAUUUAAAAUAGGAAAGAAUUUCCCGGGAAUGUUGUUGGGAAAAGGAUGUUGUUUGAAAGAGGCUAUUAUUGAAGGAAAAUCCAUGGGCCUAAUGAUAUACACUAGCCCUGAUGCUUUGUAUGGAGUCAAAUAAAGAUGCACAAAAAUUAGUCAUGAAGUUGUUUUGUACAAGAGAACAAUUCUGUCAAGUUUUGAUUAAAUAAAAUGAGUGCAUUGUGAAGUCCAAUAAUAGCCUAAUUGGUCUAUAUAGAGAGUUGUAUUUUUAUUUAUUCACUCAUUAUUUGUAAACAUCCCAUUUCCAAGUAUGUACAAAGAAGUUUCACGGUAUGAUUUAGGCCUUUGACGAAAAUUGCCUAUAAAUUGAAAUAAAUCUUUGGGAUUUGGUGUAAAAAAAGUUUUACUGUAAUCUUAAAACAGAUCAGACAUUUUAAGAUUAUCCUCACCAUUUUAAUGCAAAUAAUAAUGUAUGCAUAGACAGAAACAAAAUGUUUAUUUCAAUGUUUAUUUCACAAGUAGCACAUGUAAUGUAGGCUAGGCAAGUUUUUUAAUUGUGUUAUGGAUGUACUGAAUACUUUGAAUGUUUCAACAUAUUUAUAAAAUGUUCAAAAGCCUCGAGGGUAUCAAUAUUCAUCUCUUUAAACAAUCCAUGCUAUUUUAUGGCUAUGUGUCAAAACCAAGGCUCAAACUUAUCUCAUUGUAAAUGUGUACAUUUGAUUACUUUUUACCUUAUUUCAACAUAUGGUCUUGCUAUGGUCAAAUUGUACUGAUAUGUACUGAACAAAAAUAUAAACACAACAUGCAACAAUUUCUAAGAUUUUACUGAGUUACAGUUUGUAUAAGGAAAUCAGUCAUUUGAAGUAAAUUCAUUAGGCCCUAAUCUAUGAAUUUCACAUGACUUGGCAGUGGUGCAGCCAUAGGUGGGCUUUGGAGAGCAUAGGCCCACCCACUUGCCAGCCAGGCCCACCCACUGGGGAGCCAGGCCCAGCCAAUAAGGGGUGCAGCCAUAGUUGAGCCUUGUAGAGCAUAGGCCCAACCACUUGUCAGCCAGGCCUACCCACCACCCAGGCCGGAUGUGGAGGGGCUGGCGUGGUUACACGGGGUCUGCAGUUGUGAGGCCGGUUGGACAUACUGCCAAAUUCUCUAAAGUAACGUUAGUGGCAGCUUAUGGUAAAGAAAUUGACAUUAAAUUCUCUGGCAGCAGCUCAGGUGGACAUUCCUGUAGUGAGCAUGCCAAUUGCAUACUCCCUCAAAACUUGAGGCAUCUGUGGCAUUGUGUUGUGUGACAAAACUGCACAUUUUAAAGUGGUCUUUUAUUGUCCCCGGCACAAGGUGCACCUGUGUAAUGAUCCCGCUGUUUAAUCAGCUUCUUGAUAUGUCACACCUGUCAGGUGGAUAGAUUAUAAUGGCAAAGGAGAAAUGCUCACUUACAGGGAUGUAAACAAAUUUGUGCACAACAUUUGAGAGAAAUAAGCUAUUUGUGUGUAUGGAACAUUUCUGGGAUUUUUUAUUUUUUAUUUCAUGAUUGUGUGUUAUUUAAUAACAGCAUCAGUAAUGAGGACAGUGAUAGUACGCAUGAUAACAAUAUAAUUAUAACAUUAUUGUUGUCAUAUCAUUUGUUGCUAUAAUAUUGUUGUAAUAUUGAUAAUUAAUAAUUACUAUUAUUAUUGCAAUACUAAUAAUAACAUAAUUAAUCAAAAAUUAUGUAUUGCUCUUGUUAUUGUAUGUACAGUGUACAUAUUGCAUGUCAUACAUUUCUUAAUCGUGUAAUGUUUGUUGAUGUCAAUCCUCAUUUUUUUUUGUCAGCAUGUGAUCCUGUGGAUAAAAAAAAAACAUUUUCAUUAAAAAAAUAUUUUGGUCCAGAAGUGUAAUUUCAACCUUUUCUCAAGCCACAAGUGAUGUUAUGUGAGAAUUAAUUUAGUUCCCUCUGAAAUACUGUAUGUGUCUCUCUUGUCCAUAUGAAGGUCCUCAGUGUAACCUGGGCUGACCGUCUGUCUAACUGCCUCCUCUCUCAGACAAGAGGAGAGGUCUCUAUCUAGGCCUACAGUCCACUGCUCUUUUAAGUCCUCC